rnacentral:rRNA from 1 species
AGACCCGAAACCCGGUGAUCUAGCCAUGGGCAGGUUGAAGGUUGGGUAACACUAACUGGAGGACCGAACCGACUAAUGUUGAAAAAUUAGCGGAUGACCUGUGGCUGGGGGUGAAAGGCCAAUCAAACCGGGAGAUAGCUGGUUCUCCCCGAAAGCUAUUUAGGUAGCGCCUCGUGAAUUCAUCUCCGGGGGUAGAGCACUGUUUCGGCUAGGGGGCCAUCCCGGCUUACCAACCCGAUGCAAACUGCGAAUACCGGAGAAUGUUAUCACGGGAGACACACGGCGGGUGCUAACGUCCGUCGUGAAGAGGGAAACAACCCAGACCGCCAGCUAAGGUCCCAAAGUCAUGGUUAAGUGGGAAACGAUGUGGGAAGGCCCAGACAGCCAGGAUGUUGGCUUAGAAGCAGCCAUCAUUUAAAGAAAGCGUAAUAGCUCACUGGUCGAGUCGGCCUGCGCGGAAGAUGUAACGGGGCUAAACCAUGCACCGAAGCUGCGGCAGCGAACGUAUCACCCAAGACAACUUUACGGAGUUGACGAUUGACGGAGCGAAGCGACGUCAAAGCGUUCAUUAAAGUCGAGUUGGCUUAGGGAUACGUUCGUUGGGUAGGGGAGCGUUCUGUAAGCCUGUGAAGGUGUGUCGUGAGGCAUGCUGGAGGUAUCAGAAGUGCGAAUGCUGACAUAAGUAACGAUAAAGCGGGUGAAAAGCCCGCUCGCCGGAAGACCAAGGGUUCCUGUCCAACGUUAAUCGGGGCAGGGUGAGUCGACCCCUAAGGCGAGGCCGAAAGGCGUAGUCGAUGGGAAACGGGUUAAUAUUCCCGUACUUGGUGUUACUGCGAAGGGGGGACGGAGAAGGCUAUGUUGGCCGGGCGACGGUUGUCCCGGUUUAAGCGUGUAGGUGUGUGUUCCAGGUAAAUCCGGUUCACUUUAACACUGAGGCGUGACGACGAGGCACUACGGUGCUGAAGCAACAAAUGCCCUGCUUCCAGGAAAAGCCUCUAAGCAUCAGGUAACACGAAAUCGUACCCCAAACCGACACAGGUGGUCAGGUAGAGAAUA